GACGAACGCUGGCGGCGUGCUUAAAACAUGCAAGUCGAACGGUAAGGCCCUUCGGGGUACACGAGUGGCGAACGGGUGAGUAACACGUGGGUGAUCUGCCCUGCACUUCGGGAUAAGCCGGGGCAACUGGGUCUAAUACCGGAUCGGACUACGGACUGCCUGGUCCGGGGUGGAAAGAUUGUGCGGGGUGGGAUGGGCCUGCGGCCUAUGCGCUUGUUGGGGGGGUGGUGGGCUACGAAGGCGACGACGGGUAGCCGGGCUGAGAGGGUGACCGGCCACACUGGGACUGAGAUACGGCCCAGACUCCUACGGGAGGCAGCAGUGGGGAAUAUUGCACAAUGGGCGCAAGCCUGAUGCAGCGACGCCGCGUGAGGGAUGACGGCCUUCGGGUUGUAAACCUCUUUCAGCAUCGACGAAGCGAAAGUGACGGUAGGUGCAGAAGAAGGACCGGCCAACUACGUGCCAGCCGCCGCCGUAA
rnacentral:rRNA from 1 species